CAACCCUCAAGACCCCUUCGGGGGACUUGGUGUUGGGGACCGGCUGUUCCCGGCCUGCUUCUUGCAGCGCCUCUAUGCCGCCCCCGAAAUGAAUUGGCGGCCUCGUCGCGGCCUCCCCUGCGUAGUAGCACAACCUCGCAACGGGAACGUGACGGCGGCCACUGCCGUAAAACAACCCCAAUUUUAUUAG
rnacentral:misc_RNA from 1 species